ACGAACGCUGGCGGCGUGCCUAACACAUGCAAGUCGAGCGGAGACAGUGAGUAGCUUGCUAUGAACUGUUUUAGCGGCGGACGGGUGAGUAACGCGUGAGCAACCUUUCCCAGACAGGGGAAUAACACACCGAAAGGUGUACUAAUACCGCAUAAGACCACGGAAUCACAUGGUUCUGAGGUAAAAGAUUUAUCGGUUUGGGGUGGGCUCGCGUCCGAUUAGGUAGUUGGUGAGGUAACGGCCCACCAAGCCGACGAUCGGUAGCCGACCUGAGAGGGUGAUCGGCCACAUUGGGACUGAGACACGGCCCAAACUCCUACGGGAGGCAGCAGUGGGGAAUAUUGGGCAAUGGGGGGAACCCUGACCCAGCAACGCCGCGUGGAGGAAGAAGGUUUUCGGAUCGUAAACUCCUGUCCUUGGAGACGAGUAGAAGACGGUAUCCAAGGAGGAAGCCCCGGCUAACUACGUGCCAGCAGCCGCGGUAAUACGUAGGGGGCAAGCGUUGUCCGGAAUAAUUGGGCGUAAAGGGCGCGUAGGCGGCUCGGUAAGUCUGGAGUGAAAGUCCUGCUUUUAAGGUGGGAAUUGCUUUGGAUACUGUCGGGCUUGAGUGCAGGAGAGGUUAGUGGAAUUCCCAGUGUAGCGGUGAAAUGCGUAGAGAUUGGGAGGAACACCAGUGGCGAAGGCGACUAACUGGACUGUAACUGACGCUGAGGCGCGAAAGUGUGGGGAGCAAACAGGAUUAGAUACCCUGGUAGUCCACACCGUAAACGAUGAUUACUAGGUGUUGGAGGAUUGACCCCUUCAGUGCCGCAGUUAACACAAUAAGUAAUCCACCUGGGGAGUACGACCGCAAGGUUGAAACUCAAAGGAAUUGACGGGGGCCCGCACAAGCAGUGGAGUAUGUGGUUUAAUUCGACGCAACGCGAAGAACCUUACCAAGUCUUGACAUCCUGCGACGAUGCUGGAAACAGUAUUUUCCUUCGGGACGCAGAGACAGGUGGUGCAUGGUUGUCGUCAGCUCGUGUCGUGAGAUGUUGGGUUAAGUCCCGCAACGAGCGCAACCCUUAUCUUCAGUUACUAACGCGUGAGGGUGAGGACUCUGAAGAGACUGCCGGGGACAACUCGGAGGAAGGUGGGGACGACGUCAAAUCAUCAUGCCCCUUAUGACCUGGGCUACACACGUGCUACAAUGGCCACGACAGAGAGAAGCGAAAUCGUAAGGUAGAGCGGAACUCAAAAAAGUGGUCCCAGUUCGGAUUGUGGGCUGCAACCCGCCCACAUGAAGUCGGAGUUGCUAGUAAUCGCGGAUCAGCAUGCCGCGGUGAAUACGUUCCCGGGCCUUGUACACACCGCCCGUCACACCAUGGGAGUCAGUAACGCCCGAAGUCAGUGACCUAACCGCAAGGAAGGAGCUGCCGAAGGCGGGACCGAUGACUGGGGUG
rnacentral:rRNA from 1 species